rnacentral:tRNA from 1 species
UGGGCCCGUAGUCUAGGUGGUUAUGACGUCGCCCUUACAAGGCGGAGAUCACCGGUUCGAACCCGGUCGGGCCCAU